AAAAAUGUAAACACCUAGAAUAAUUAAUAUGUGACAUGAAUAAAUAUAAAGCAUCCUUCCUUUUUUUGGAAACAAAGAGGAGAAACUAUUUAUGUUUGCUGUUGACCAUUAAACUAUAGCUAAAAAAAAGUAGUGGUAGUAAAGCUGAUUAACAGUAUCUAUCAAUUGUAUAAAAAAUUUUAACAAAUGCUAAUGUUUGUGAUGUAUUUCAAUAAUUAACAGCAAAAUUAGAAGAUGGCCAGCAUUUACGGCCAGAAAUUCAACAGGUACCAACUGUGUGACACCAAUGCCAAACAAGCAACUAAAAUUAUCCCCCAGUAUCUAUUCUACCGUCUUUUUAGCAACAGAACUUCCUGAGCAUAUACCCAGUGAGCUAGACUCCUUGGCAGCUAAGUGUGGUCUGUGACUGAGUUCUAGUCAGUGAAAUAUGAGCAUAAGUUAAAUAUGCAAUUUCUAGAUCAUGUCUUUUUAAGUACAUGGCUAGCUUUCCACUUCCUCUUUCUCUCUUUUGAGGGCCAAGUUCAACCAUGCACAUGACAACACCAAAGGAAAUGGCAAAACUGGAAAGACAGAAGGAAAGUAGAAUCCUGGAUGACAUCAUGGGACAAAGCUGCUUACCUCUGGACUUAUCACUUAAGAGAGAAACUUAUUUUGUUCAAGCCACUGAUUUGAAAAAUAUCCACGAGAUAAAACUGUCAAGACUUGGAAAAAGACUGGAUAUGAUAGAGAAGAAAAAGGAGUGUCAAGGAUGUCUCUCAGGUUCUGCCCUUUGCAAUCAAAUGGAGAAACCACUCUUUUUACUGGAGGAGAGGACCAGGUUUGGGUGGGGAGGUGAUAGCUUCAGUGUGGGACAUCAUGAGCUUGAAGUAUGUCACAGGCUGAAUAAUUUGGCUCCCAAAGAUAUCCAGAACCUGGAGUUCCUAUUGUGGCUAGGCAAAAACAACUCUGACUAGUAACCAUGAGGAUGCAGGGUCCAUUCCCUGGCCUCUCUCAGUGGGUUAAGGAUCCGGCAUUGCCGUGAGCUGUGGUGUAGGUCACAGACUCAGCUCAGAUCUGACACUGCUGUGGCUGUGGCACAGGCCAGCAGCUACAGCUCUGAUUCAACUCCUAACCUGGGAACCUCAAUAUACCGAGGGUGUGCCCCCCCCAAAAAAGAGUGAGAGAUCCAAAGAUAUCCAGAACCUAUUCCCCAAAACCUGUGACUGUUAACCUUAUAUGGCAAAAGGACUUUGUAGCUAUAAAUAAAGGAUUUUGAGAUGGAGUUAUUAACCUGGAUUAACCAAGUGCACCCUAAAUGUAAUCAGUGUACUUAUGACAAGGAAACAGAAGGAGAGCUGAUCACAGAGAUGUGAAGGUGAUGUGAUGAUUAGAAGUGAGACUGGAUUGAUAUAUUUUGAAGACAGAGGAGGAGGCCACAGGCCACGAAAUACAGACGGCCAGUAGAGGUAGGGGGAAAAAAAAAACCACACACACACACACAAAACCCACAAAAAACACCCUACAAAACAAAAAAACCCAAGCACAACAAACACACACACACACACACACACACACACACACAAAAUAGAUUCUCCUUCAGAGCCCUCAGAACUGUAAGAGACUAAAUUUGUGUUGUCUUAAGACGCUAUAUUUGCGGUAACUGGUAAUAGCAGUGACAGAAACUAAUACAAAGUACCUCUGAAACAUCCAAGUGCAUACAUCAAGAAGGCAGAUGAGCCUGAAAUUAGAAGAAAUGCGGACUGAGGAUAUAAACCCCAGUCACUGGCAUAACUGGAACUUUAAAUUUAUAAGAGAUGACUGGAGAAUAGACAGAGAUCAAAGAGCAGAGGUCUCGGAAAAUGCCAAACUAAAGAACACAAAAGGGAAAGAAAAGCUGACCAAAAAACAAUGUAAGGAGUUGUCAAGUGGUCAGAGAAGUUAAGAAAACUAAGAGAGCACAGUAUCAUGAAAGUCAACCUAAGAACAUAUUUCAAGAGUUUGGUCAAAAUGCUGCUGAGACCCCUAGUAAGAUGAAGACGAAAAAUAACCAUUAGUGACCCUGAGCAAGAGAUGUUUCAGAGAAAUUAUGAGGGCAGAAACCAAAUCAGCGUGGAGAGAUGAGGAAAUGGAGACAGCAUGUGUAGACAAUUCUUUCAAAAAGUUUGGCUGGAAAGAAAGAAUGGUUGUAGUUAGAAGAGGAAAUAGGAUAAAGGGGGAAUUUUUUACACAGAAAGACUGAGAAAUCCUCAAUGAGCUGUAUAUAUAAGAAAGUAUGUGCUGCCCCAGAAUCUCAUGAAACAGGAUGUUAUAAAACUUUUGGAUUUUUACUAAUUGAUAAGUAAAAACUAGCAUAUUAGUAUUUUUAAUUUCAUUUUCUUAGGAAUAAAGUUGUGUAUCUUUUCAGAUAAGAGGACUAAAUGGCCAUGUGUAUCUUUCAGUCAACUGUUCAUUAUGUUUGCUUGUUUUUAUAUGGUGUUGCUACUAUUUCUCUUAUCUAUUUCUAGAGAUAGUUUAGGAAGGUUAAUCUUGUCAGUGUUAAAAAUUUGUCUUUUGGAGUGCCCGUCAUGGUGCAGUGGAAACAAAUACAACUGGGAACCAUGAGGUCGAGGGUUCAAUCCCUGGCCUCGCUCAGUGGGUUAAGGAUUGGGCGUUGUUGUGAGCAGUGAUGUAGGUCACAGACGUGGCACAGAUCUGGCGUUGCUGUGGCUGUGGUGUAGGCCAGCGGCUACACCUACGAUUGGACCCUAGCCUGGGAACCUCCAUAUGCCUUGGGUGUGGCCCUAAAAAAACAAACAAAAUGAAACAAAUUUGUCUUCUGACUUUGUUUACAGUGAUUUUUGUUUUGGUUUUAGUCAUAGUUAGACAUUUGCCACUCCAAAGUUAUGAAAAUAAUUCUUCCAUGUUCUUCUUAUGUUUUCUUAUGUUUAUGUCUCCAUUUUCUACAUGUCUCUGAUCUCAUUUAGAGUUUAUCAUGGUAUACAGUGCUAUGUACACUAAGAUAAAUUCUAGAUACCCUAAUGUCCCAAUACUACCUUCUCUCUGCCACCCAUGAUUUGAGAUGCUAUCAUUUUUACAUAUUAAAUACCUAAUAUGUUUUGGGGUCUAUUUCUGGACUUACUUUUCUGUUUCAUUGAACAAUAUUCAUAAACUAGUACACAAUUAUUUAAUACUUAAAUCUUUAGACUGUAUUGGUAUCUAAUAGGGCACUCCUUCAUUAUAGCUUUUCUUUUUCCAAGUUUCCCUGGAUAUUCUUGUCUGUUUAUUUUUUUCAUAUAAACUUCCAAAUCAGGUGACUGUCACAGGAAAAAACAACAACAAAAAAAACAAUUAUUGGUAGUGUUUUUAUUGGGAUUAUGCUUAAUUUAUAAUUUAGGGGAAAUUAUUAUUUUGAUGCUGGUUCUUCUUAACGCAAGAACUACGAUAUCUUUCCAUUUACGUCUUCCUUUUUGUUAUAUUUUAAUACUAAUGCCAAGAGUUUGGUAAAGGUGAAAAGGUGAAGAAGACUGCUAGUUAGGAGUUCCCUCAUGGCCCAAUGGGUUAAGGACCCAGUGUUGCCAUUGCUGUGGCACCGGGGGGUUAGGGGGGGCAGGAACUUCUGCAUGCUGCAGAUGUAGCCAAAAAAACAAAAAACAAAAACAAAACAAAAAAAGACAACUGCUAGUUAAACAAGGCAGGCUGAACAUAUGAUUUACUCAUAUUCCUUAUCAAAACCCCACUCAAGUGAGAGUAAAAUAGAAAGGCUAUAAAUUCCAGAAGCUCAAAGAGAACAGAAGUAAAAAUGAUAUUAGCUAUCAAAACAUUUUUAGAAGGUAAAAAAUAUAUAGAGGAAUUAGCAGUUUGCAAACUCUGGAUACUGAGUACCUGUACAGAAGAUAUCCAAAAAGCAGGUUUGUGCUACAAAAUCACAGAAAGGCUAAGCAUCACAGGUGGGGAACAAAGCAUGUAACUAAAAACAAAGGAGAUGGGUAAAAUCUAUUUAAAGAGUCAAACCCCUCCAUUUACCUUCCAUCUCUCCAUCCUAUACUCUUUCUUAACCCUAUUUUAUGAAGAAAAUGAACCAAAGAGACUACACAAAGAAACCAGGCACAAGUACGGAAGAGACCCAGUAUACUGAAAGAGGGAAUUAAAAUUCCAUACAUUUAAUUUCAUACUUCAGCUCCAAGACUUCUAGCAGAUACGGGUAUGUAUAAACUACUCUACCUCUCUGGCAAAAAUGAGGUAGAUUCUUAGCUGUAAAAACUAAAAGCCCCAAAGAAAAGAUCUCUAAAUGCUGACAUUUGGAGCUUUUCUUAAAGUGAUAUGGCCGGAUCUUCUACCCAGUCAUCAAAGAAUAAGUCCCAUUUACGUGUUCACAGAGUUUCUGAACAGUUUUUUACUAACUCAUUUAAAUAUAAACAGCUCACCAGACGUUUGAAGAAAGUAUCUCACAUAAAUAGGAGAUUAAAACAAAAAGGAAACUGAUGAAACAGAGACAACCCAGGGAAUAAAAUAAAAAUUCAAAACAAGUAUAAUAUCUGAAAGAUACUGCACCCAUGAAAUCAAAACAAGAAGUUAUGAAAAAAAAAGAACUCUUAAAUUCAAAAUAUUGCAGCUAAAAUAGAUCAACAGGAGAAAAAGAAGGUAAUUAAAUAUCUCCAGAAUAAAAAUACAAAGAAAAUAAAAAAAGACAAAGAAAAUAACAAAAAGACAAAGAAAAAUUACAGGAAAGAUAAAAAAAAUUAGAGGUUCAAUCAGAAGGCCUAACAUCCAAGUUACAAAAGCCUCAGAAAAAGUGAGAUAAGGAAAUGAACUAAGAAUACAAAAAAAUUUACCCUAACAGAAGGCUAUGCAUUCCCACAUUGAAAAAACCCUAAAUGUUCAAGAGAGUGAAUUAAAAAAAAGACUCACCCCAAUGAGAGAUGAGAAAAAUCACAGGGUUGGGGAUGGCCUUCAACUAUAUUGGUGAUAUUUUAUGCCUUGGGCCAGGUGGCAAGAACAUAGGUCUUUAUUAUUAUUUUUUUCUUUUUAUGGCCACCCGCGCCAGAUGGAAGUUCCCAUUCCAGGGGUCGAAUCAGAGUCACAGCUGAGUCCCAGUCCCAGCCAUGGCAACACCGGAUCCAUGCCACAUCUGGACCUAUGCUGUAACUUAUGGCAACACCAGAUUCCCAACCCACUGAGCAAGGCCAGGGAUCAAACCUGUAUCCUCACAAAGACGUCAGGCUCUUAACCCAUUGAGCUACAAAGGGAAUUCCUAUUAUUCUUUAUACCUCUUUAUGUCUGAAAUAUUUCAUAAAUUAAAAAUCAAGAAAAGACCCAUCUCAAAGCUUAUUCUCAGUCUUCUGAAAUUUUGCAAGAAGGAGUUUUGAAAGCUUCCAGAGAGGAAACAUGACAUCUUGACAUUGGAUUUCUCAGUAGCAACACUAGAAGUGUAAAUAAAGACAGUGGAGUAAUACCUUUAUAAAUCUGCAGAAAAAUGACCUCCAACCUAGAAUUCCAAACCUAUCUAAACUAUCAAUCAAAUGUAAUGGUAGAGACACUUUUCAGACAUGUGAGAUCUCAUUUGAGUCAUGGAACUGAGGCAGAGCAGUCACAGGAUCCCAGAAGAGACUCAGGUAAAAGGCAAACAGAAACCCCAGGAUAUACAUGUACAAGAUAGGUGAGAUGUAUACACAUCUUGGGAUAGACCUCCAAAAACAUUCUUACUGAAACACAGUAAUAUUACAAAACUGUAAAGAUACUAAAUGUCUGAAAACAGAAUAAAUAGUGAUGUAGUCAUACAACAAAAUAACAAAUACAGUGAUUUAAAUAAAUGAACUAGAAUUAUAUUAUAACAUAAUUCUCAAAAGCAAUGUUGAACCAAAGCAAUCUGCAGAAUGAUACAUGCAAUAUACUAUUUGUAGAGUGCUAAAUCACACAAAAUAGUUACAUAUAUUGUUUACGUAUUGAUACAUGCAUAGCAAAAUA